rnacentral:rRNA from 1 species
GUCUACAGCCAUGCCACCCUGAAAAAGUCCUAUCCUGACUGAUCUCAGAAGCUAAGCAAGGUCAGGCCUGGUUAGUACUUGGAUGGGAGACUACCUAGGAAGAUCUAUAGGCGUAAAAA